AACUUUCGACAAUGGAUCUCUUGGCUCUCGCAUCGAUGAAGAACGCAGCGAAAUGCGAUAAGUAAUGUGAAUUGCAGAUUUUCAGUGAAUCAUCGAAUCUUUGAACGCACCUUGCGCCCCUUGGUAUUCCGAGGGGCAUGCCUGUUUGAGUGUCAUCAAAUCCUCAACCCCCUCCGAUUUGUUUCGGUGGGGAUUGGACUUGGAGCGUGCUGGCGAAGGUCGGCUCCUCUUUAAAUGCAUCAGCGGAGAAAAUGCCUUUUGCGCCUCUGGCCGUUCAGCGUGAUAAUGACGUUGCGCUGCGGUCGAGCUCAAGGUCCGCUUCCAAAGGUCCUCGGACGAACGUAAACAUGACUUUUGACCUCAAAUCAGGUAGGACUACCCGCUGAACUUAAGCAUAUCAAUAAGCGGAGGCU
rnacentral:misc_RNA from 1 species